rnacentral:rRNA from 1 species
CGACCUGAGAUCAGAC